rnacentral:rRNA from 1 species
UGGGGAAUUUUGGACAAUGGGGGAAACCCUGAUCCAGCCAUCCCGCGUGUGCGAUGAAGGCCUUCGGGUUGUAAAGCACUUUUGGCAGGAAAGAAACGUCAUGGGUUAAUACCCCGUGAAACUGACGGUACCUGCAGAAUAAGCACAGUCUAACUACGUGCCAGCAGCCGCGGUAAUACGUAGGGUGCAAGCGUUAAUCGGAAUUACUGGGCGUAAAGCGUGCGCAGGCGGUUCGGAAAGAAAGAUGUGAAAUCCCAGAGCUCAACUUUGGAACUGCAUUUUUAACUACCGGGCUAGAGUGUGUCAGAGGGAGGUGGAAUUCCGCGUGUAGCAGUGAAAUGCGUAGAUAUGCGGAGGAACACCGAUGGCGAAGGCAGCCUCCUGGGAUAACACUGACGCUCAUGCACGAAAGCGUGGGGAGCAAACAGG